UGAUAUUCUAUCAGAAAACAUUAAUAUUUUAUUUUCAUAUAGGCUGCAAUGGCAAUGGGAAGCCAUGUCCCUCAAAAAAGAAAGAGGACUAAGAGAGGGAAAGCAGUCGCAAGCGUAGCGGCCACAAGUAACAGACGUAAGAAACGUCAAAAAGCAGAACGUCGUGCAUUAGCUUCUGAAGUUCAAGUGAUCACAGUGUCUGAGGAAGUCCCUCAGAUCGAAGAAGAGAUGACUGCAAGUCUUGAAACGUGUCUUCAACAGCUGAGGGACACUCUUGACUCAGUUGAGGUUAAUGUGGCAGCUGAAAAAACAGCAUGGGCACAGCGGCAGCUACACGCUGAUACAAGGGCAAAAGCAGCAAGGCCAGUGCUGCUCGAUGCUAAACUGUCCGCUGAAAGAGACUUCUACCAAAAAUACACUAUAUAGUUUUGAUGUCUUUGAAGCUUUUGCUCACAUCAAAGUAUCGGCUCCUUCGAUGUCAAGGCAUGCCUUUUUAAAGCUACUGGAGCACCGUUCUGUUCAGGCUGGAAGGGCAAAUCUGCUUGAAUCAUUGUUACACACAAUCAUAUUACUGUAAUAUUGUAAUAUUUCUUUUCUGUAAACACAAUUUUUUUUUUAUGUCAUAGCCGGGGAAUGUCUGUGCAGAUACGUUCCAGAAAAGCUUUUUCGAAUAUUGUUUUUGCAAGCAUACAGAAGAGGUGAUGUGUGAAGUAAAUGACUUUUAUUGUCCAGCAUGUCACCCAGACAUGUUGGCAGUGUGUUGCGAUGGCAAUCGCAAACAUUAUCGCUUCAAAAAAUCAAGGG